rnacentral:rRNA from 1 species
GAGGGGCGGACGGGAGAGCAACGCGAGGACAACCCGCCAGAAAGACCGGGACAACACCGGGAAACGGGAGCAAACACCGGACAAGCUCUUGAGCGCACAAGCACAUAAGAGGAAAGGAUUUAUCUUUCGCAUUCAGAUGGGUCCGCGUCCCAUUAGCUAGUUGGUGAGGUAACGGCUCACCAAGGCGACGAUGCGUAGCCGACCUGAGAGGGUGAUCGGCCACAUUGGGACUGAGACACGGCCCACACUCCUACGGGAGGCAGCAGUGGGGAAUAUUGCACAAUGGGAGAAACCCUGAUGCACCAACGCCGCGUGAGUGAUGACGGCCUUUCGGGUUGUAAAGCUCUGUCUUCAGGGACGAUAAUGACGGUACCUGAGGAGGAAGCCACGGCUAACUACGUGCCAGCAGCCGCGGUAAUACGUAGGUGGCGAGCGUUGUCCGGAUUUACUGGGCGUAAAGGGAGCGUAGGCGGAUUUUUAAGUGAGAUGUGAAAUACUCGGGCUUAACCUGAGUGCUGCAUUUCAAACUGGAAGUCUAGAGUGCAGGAGAGGAGAAGGGAAUUCCUAGUGUAGCGGUGAAAUGCGUAGAGAUUAGGUAGAACACCAGUGGCGAAGGCGCUUCUCUGGACUGUAACUGACGCUGAGGCUCGAAAGCGUGGGGAGCAAACAAGAUUAGAUACCCUGGUAGUCCACGCCGUAAACGAUGAAAUACUAGGUGUAGGGGUUGUCAUGACCUCUGUGCCGCCGCUAACGCAUUAAGUAUUCCGCCUGGGGAGUACGGUCGCAAGAUUAAAACUCAAAGGAAUUGACGGGGGCCCGCACAAGCAGCGGAGCAUGUGGUUUAAUUCGAAGCAACGCGAAGAACCUUACCUAGACUUGACAUCUCCUGCAUUACUCUUAAUCGAGGAAGUCCCUUCGGGGACAGGAUGACAGGUGGUGCAUGGUUGUCGUCAGCUCGUGUCGUGAGAUGUUGGGUUAAGUCCCGCAACGAGCGCAACCCUUAUUGUUAGUUGCCAUCAUUAAGUUGGGCACUCUAGCGAGACUGCCCGGGUUAACCGGGAGGAAGGUGGGGAUGACGUCAAGUCAUCAUGCCCCUUAUGUCUAGGGCUACACACGUGCUACAAUGGUCGGUACAAUAAGACGCAAGCCCGCGAGGGGGAGCAAAACUGGAAAACCGAUCUCAGUUCGGAUUGUAGGCUGAAACUCGCCUACAUGAAGCUGGAGUUGCUAGUAAUCGCGAAUCAGCAUGUCGCGGUGAAUACGUUCCCGGGCCUUGUACUCACGGCCCGUCA